ensembl:lncRNA
GUCGACCGUACUGUUGAGUCCUGCUUGCCUUGCCCUAAAUGUCGGCCUCUCACUCUGGUUUGGAUGAAGAGUCAAAAACCUCCUAGGGUUUGAAAGUGGUUUGUUUACCUGCGCUGAGAUCAAGAGGCGAGAUGAGGAAUCUAAAAGGAACAUGGCUGCAGGCGAGGAGCAGUCUUAAAACAGCCACUUCCAGCCAGUACACACAAAUAAACCUGAAUGCUGAACUUCAAGAGAACCUCGUAAAAAGAGAAUUUUUGCAAUUAAAGUCACAAUGUGAGAAUCCUUUAUAUUGACUUUAAAAUCAAGCCAGUAAUAGACAAAACCAUUAAAGUGACAGAGCCUGGAGCGACUGUGUGCUGCUUUACAAUGAAAUGGCUUGUUUUCUCAUACUUUGCUGCUGACACAGUUGCCAUAUUAGAACAAAAUAAAUGGUUAGCGUCCUUGUUAUUAUCUCUCUUAAACCCAGUUGAACGGUCUGAACGCCUGCCAUUGUUCAGUCUCUGUGAUAAGGGGCAUGUGAUUCACCACUACGGCUCAGUAAAUGAAGGCUGGAGAUGAGCCACUGACAUGAAUACCCUGCCCUUGACUGAGCCAGGAUGCGAUCUCACGACUGCAUGUGGUAAAUCAAAUCCAACUAUUUAUGACUCCUCUCACAGAUACCGACCGAGUCAGUAACUGAUCGGUCCGAAUCUCUCACCGCGUGCCUUUUCAUUUGCACAGAAAGCGCUCACUGGCACGGUGCCCGUCAGAUCGAGACGUCAGAGCCGCACACACUCACGCUGGCACGGGUCCCAUCGCUGCGUCCGCCCAUGCGAGGCCACCGGGCUGUGACGUUACAGAGGGAAAAUUUUGGGAUGACGCAUGCCGGUUCUCUGCGUGGAAUCAUUUUGGCUGCAUGGUAAUUGGCGUGGAGAGACCGGAUAUAAACCGGAGCACGGCAGAGAAAGAGAGAGAGACGGGCUGGGACCUCGUGUGGGGACUACGGAGUGAUAACGACGAGAAUUCUAAGUUAUUGGGAUAUUGUGGUGCAACGGGCACACCGUUGGCGCAUGUUGCGCAGGAUUGUUUUGUUUAUUUAGUGUGGAACAAUAAAAACGAGCGUCCCAGCCACAAGCCGACCCCUGUCUUCUUCCUUCCGGUGAAUAAUUGUGUCGAACCUCAUCACAGCAUGCAAGAUCAAAAAACAUUUGUUUUCGCAUAACAUUUAACUUCACCUCAGUUGAUUCAAUGAUUAGUUUGAAGCAGUUCAAAAGAAUAAGUCUGUCUAAACCCCUCCUUUUUCGUAAGCCUACACUGCUCUGAUUGGUUAGAUGGCGUAGUGCUUUGUAACUGGUCUACCGUGCAUGCUGUAGUGUUUGAGGGGGGGUCAAGUCGUUUGUGGGCGGACAAUGUAGAACUUAGGCAGGCAUUAUGCAAAUGUGUUACCCAGUGACGUGUAGCUGUCACGGAAGUGAGACUGGAGUUCCUGACAACUCGUUUUUUUUUUUUUUUGCUUUUUUUUUUAGAAAAA